CACACACGCGCGCGCACACGCGCACCCCCACUCACACUGUAAUGCGCCACCAGCCCAUAGCAGGAACUCAACUCAUGUCGGGAUGCUUAUUGUUCCACUGCGCCGACCUCAACUUUAACAGAGUUUAAUAUCCUGUUGGAGGAGCUGGUGCUGCUUCUGCUGACCGCUGGAGGAGAACUGAUGCGCUCAGGAAAGACAAGCUGCCAGGUCACCAGGUCACCAGGUCACCGGUUCUCCUGCUGUUACUUUUGGUUGAGCCCCAGCCUGGGAACACCAGAAC